rnacentral:miRNA from 8 species
AAAUGUCACCUUUUUGGGAAGA